GACCACAGCACUCAAACAACUGCAGGGCCACAUGUGAAGGGCAGCAUUCACAGCUGGACACAUGAAAGCAGAGUUCUUUGAAGAUGAAGUUUCAGCAUUCAGGAAGUGGAGAGAAGAUGGAAUGAAGGUGUAUAUCUAUUCUUCUGGAAGUGUAGAGGCUCAGAAACUAUUAUUUGGGCAUUCUACAGAGGGAAAUAUUCUUGAGCUUUUUGAUGGUCACUUUGAUACCAAAGUUGGACACAAAGUGGAGAGUAUAAGUUAGAAAAAGAUUGCAAACAGCAUUGGAUGCUCAACCAACAACAUCUUGUUUCUAACAGAUGUUACUUUAGAGGCCAGUGCUGCUGAGGAAGCAGGUGUGCAUGUAGCUGUGGUGGUGAGACCUGGCAAUGCAGGAUUGACAGAUGAUGAGAAAACUUCCUGCAGCCUCAUCACAUCCUUCAGCAAACUAUACCUGCCUUCCUCAGCAUAGAGGAAGACUUCCACAGAAGACCAAACUGUUCCUCAGAGUUGUCCCC
rnacentral:lncRNA from 1 species